rnacentral:tRNA from 1 species
GGAGGGGUGGGUGAGCGGACGAAACCACCGGUCUUGAAAACCGGCAGAUCGAGAGGUCUCGCGGGUUCGAAUCCCGCCCCCUCCG